UCUGUUAUAUUCAGUAUUGCUUCCCUUGUCUCAUCAGUUAGAUUCAGUUCAGCUGUGUGAUUUUCCCCCACGCAUGUCCACUACCCCAAUCACCCCCACUCUCCCUUCCCAGAGUGUCAGUUCACCUUCCCUCUGCACUUCCGAUGUCCCUUCAGAUCAGCUGAGACUUUUAUAGACAAUGGAUAACAACCAGCCUCCAUGAGGGAUUUCGGUCUGUUUGAUACCCUAAAUCAAGGGAAAGCGACUGAACUCUGUGCAUGUUUGCCAAACUGAGAGGAGGAAUGGGCUGGAUGGAACUGUCAGGGGACCAGUUAAGCCCCAUUUGCAAGCCAGACAAAUUCAUCUGAAGCAGAGGUUGCCACAGUGGAUCAUCUGCCUCCAUCUCACCUCUAUCCUUCCUGUGUCAUCCUAACCCUCUACUGUGUCCUCCUUCAUGAGUCUUCUGUGGUGUACCUGGCAGGUCCAUCUUUGGCAUCCUUUGUCCAUCCCGUCCAUUCUGGUCACUUUCAAUGAAAAUCCUAACAUCUUCAACUCGGCCGCCUCCUUCUACUUUUACACUCAUCCCAGAGACUUGUCUCCAACUGCUCCACCCAGCCUGCACUCUCUUCUUGACCUCUCCUGUGCACUGUCUAUAGCUUUGGCUGGUUGAGUACAGUUACUACAGCUCUGCACAUCAACCCUGUUCUUGAAAAUUGGACUCAUUCUUCCAUUCCUCUGGCAGCUUCUCAAUCUCCAAGAUUGUGUUAAACACUCGAGUUUAAAAAAGGCCACAUCCCAUCUUCAAGACAUCUUCAUACCAUCACAGAUAUAGGAGCAUUACCAGCUACCCAACCCAAAUAUACUCCCGAGGAUGAAGAGAGCAUCCUGCAUGACCGCCAACCAGCUAAUAAAUGUGAAAAUAUAACACACUGCAGUUAAGGUUGAGAAAGCUACCAAUCACAAACCAUUUACAGAGUAAAAUGAGAAUAUUAACAGUACAAAUUUGCUUCACGUGUCCCUUCAUUUCAUUUCCUUUAUUUGGGCCUGUAUUUAAAACCUCUUUUCUUACUUUGGAGUGGCCUGCAGUCAAGGGCAUUACUUUACAAAUACAAUUAAGUUUCUCUGUUGAUGGGGUUCUGAUGAGGUCAUCUGAGGGGAUUCAUGCUCAUCAGCAGAAUGCAAAGCUUUGACACUUAAUUUUCGUGCAUUCGCAUGCUGCUGAUACUUUUAGCUUUAGAGAUGGUUGCCAAGGAAAAACGGUUAUAUGAGAUGGUUAAGCAAUCUCAGGCACUGGAGUGGAGAAUGUACAACAUUAGAAAGAAGAAGAAAAAAAAAACCUGAAUUUUUGAGAAGUGUUGAGCAGCAGCAGUAUGAUGCUGUUAAGGUACGUGAGAUGAAGGCUGAUAAACACAGAAACAAUAAAAGGCUUCCAACGCUCAGUGUGAAGAGGGAAAUCUUCUUAGACAGCUCCUAAACCAAACACUCCAUCCUCACGCACAGACAGAGCAGCUACUCGAGGUUAGAUUAUACAAAGUCAGCAUUCCUAACAAAUCCUCUGAGCAUGACUGUUAUACUGUAUCUGCAAUAGGCUUGUUAAAAUCUUAUGUUCCGCUGCCUGUGUACUGACCCAGUGACUCUCCAGGGGUGAUUUUGGCUGGACUGGAAUGUCGUUUUUUUGAUUUAACAAGGGUGCAAAUUCUUUCUGUCCCAGUGCCUGACCCAAAUUUGCCUUAUGUUGUGGUUUGUGUAACUGUGAAGCAUCACUAAUGGAUAAUCAGAAUGUCUUUGUUUUUCGAGCAAGCAUUGCCAAAUGCAUCUAGUUGCAUUUC